ensembl:snoRNA
AUCCUUUUGUAGCUCUCGAGCAUGAUGAUUGGGUGUUCACCCGCUUAUGUGAUAUGUGCCACCCUCAAACCUUGUUACAACACCAGCGCAUUACCCAUCUGAUG